GAUGAACGCUGGCGGCGUGCCUAAUACAUGCAAGUCGAGCGAACGGACGAGAAGCUUGCUUUUCUGAUGUUAGCGGCGGACGGGUGAGUAACACGUGGAUAACCUACCUAUCAGACUGGGAUAAUUUCGGGAAACCGGAGCUAAUACCGGAUAAUAUUUUGAACCGCAUGGUUCAAAAGUGAAAGACGGUCUUGCUGUCACUUAUAGAUGGAUCCGCGCUGCAUUAGCUAGUUGGUAAGGUAACGGCUUACCAAGGCAACGAUGCAUAGCCGACCUGAGAGGGUGAUCGGCCACACUGGAACUGAGACACGGUCCAGACUCCUACGGGAGGCAGCAGUAGGGAAUCUUCCGCAAUGGGCGAAAGCCUGACGGAGCAACGCCGCGUGAGUGAUGAAGGUCUUCGGAUCGUAAAACUCUGUUAUUAGGGAAGAACAUAUGUGUAAGUAACUGUGCACAUCUUGACGGUACCUAAUCAGAAAGCCACGGCUAACUACGUG
rnacentral:rRNA from 1 species